rnacentral:rRNA from 1 species
GACGAACGCUGGCGGCGUGCCUAAUACAUGCAAGUAGAACGCUGAAGAGAGGAGCUUGCUCUUCUUGGAUGAGUUGCGAACGGGUGAGUAACGCGUAGGUAACCUGCCUUGUAGCGGGGGAUAACUAUUGGAAACGAUAGCUAAUACCGCAUAACAAUGGAUGACACAUGUCAUUUAUUUGAAAGGGGCAAUUGCUCCACUACAAGAUGGACCUGCGUUGUAUUAGCUAGUAGGUGAGGUAACGGCUCACCUAGGCGACGAUACAUAGCCGGCCUGAGAGGGUGAUCGGCCCCCCUGGGACUGAGACCAGGCCCAGACCUCUACGGGAGGCAGCAGUAGGGAAUCUUCGGCAAUGGGGGCAACCCUGACCGAGCAACGCCGCGUGAGUGAAGAAGGUUUUCGGAUCGUAAAGCUCUGUUGUAAGUCAAGAACGAGUGUGAGAGUGGAAAGUUCACACUGUGACGGUAGCUUACCAGAAAGGGACGGCUAACUACGUG